UUCCAUAUAUAAUAUUUUAUGGUAGUACCUGCUCUAUGUAUUGUUUUAUAAAUGGCCGCAGUAUCUUGACUGUGCAAAGGUAGCAUAAUUAAUUGCCUUAUAAUUGAGGGCUUGUUUGAAUGGUUUGACGUGGUAGAUACAAAUAUUUAUUUUAUAGUUGAAAUUGGUGUAGAGGGCACAGAAUCCUCUAUGAUUAAUUAGACGGAAAGACCCCAGGAUCUUUAUAAUUUUGUCUGGGGCAGAUGGGAAUUUUUCAUUCCUAUUAUGACCCUAAUGGUUUAGUGAUUUAAGUUACCCUGGGGAUAACAGUGUAAUAGUUUAUUAGAGACCAUAUCGAAUAAACUGUUUGCUACCUCGAUGUUGACUUAGGUAUAUAUUUUAGGCGCAGUAGUCUAGAAUUUUGGUCUGUUCGACCUUUGAUGCCUCC
rnacentral:rRNA from 1 species